CAUUAGGGGCUCAGCGCGUCCCUCCAGGCCACGCCGUCAGGCCUCCGUCCUUUUAGCUGUAGGGGCAGAUUACGUAACUCCAGCCUUCUGGUCACUAAAGGAGGGUAACAAAGGGCGGUCGAGAGACUCCACUGAGUUGACACGCAGACGCAGCCUCAGGACCCUAAACUCUACGCCCCAGCACACCCUACCAAGCGAGCGCCCGCGGCCGCGUGACGUCAUCUACCCCAAACGCUGUGGCCCCGGCCACGCACGGCUUCGGGGCGGGACUACGCGGUGACGUCGAGGUGCGCGGCGCAGCGCGCGGCGUCAGUCUUGGCUGGCAGACCUGUACUCCGUACUCCGUACUUCGUAGUCGCAGCGGCGCGGUCUUCGGCAGUCUAGUCAUCCACCGCCAUCCUGGGCCCCACGUGUUGCCUGACCAUUCCUGAGCCCAGGUGGGAGCCGUGGCUGAGGUGACGGUCUCAAAGUGGAAGAGCUUACUGUCACAGCAACUCCUUUGCAAGAUGCCCCGGUAAAUCACGUUGCAGAGACCCCAACUCUGCCUUCCUGGAACUAGGCCUGCGUUUUCUCUGAACCAUUAUUUCAUGGGGAAAAUGAAAUCUACUUCAUGUGCCUGGUCUACUUACUCCUUCAGAAGUGAUUUCUGAGCCGUAAGAUACAUGAGAAAAAAAUGAAGGGGAAAAGGCAGUAUUUAUAUUAACUACAUGAUGAUAAGGAUGUUUCUGGUCACAGUGAAAAGCCAUGCUAGAAUUGUAGUGUCAUAGAAUAAUGUGGAAGUUUAGUUCGUGUUGUCUGAUCUAUUUAAUAAUUUAAUAAGGUUAUCUCUUCCAAGACACCUUCCCUUCUUCCUCAGCCAGAAAGGAUCUUUCCCUGAGAGUCAUUAGUAGCUCUGGGCUCCUGGAACCAAGCUCAGGUGCCUAAUUGAACUCUGGUCUCUUCCCACAGCCCCCAGCAGGGACUGGUGCUUAGUGAGAGUGGACUGCCAGAUUCCUUGAGUGUGGGGGAUUUGGGUGAAUGAGGGUAGCAAGCCUCCAGCGUGCUUGGGUCUGCGGUGACCCUAUGCAUUCCUU
rnacentral:lncRNA from 1 species